rnacentral:rRNA from 1 species
UACGUAGGGUGCAAGCGUUAAUCGGAAUUACUGGGCGUAAAGCGUGCGCAGGCGGUUAUGUAAGACAGAUGUGAAAUCCCCGGGCUCAACCUGGGAACUGCAUUUGUGACUGCAUAGCUUGAGUGCGGCAGAGGGGGAUGGAAUUCCGCGUGUAGCAGUGAAAUGCGUAGAUAUGCGGAGGAACACCGAUGGCGAAGGCAAUCCCCUGGGCCUGCACUGACGCUCAUGCACGAAAGCGUGGGGAGCAAGCAGG